ACGGAGGUGGCGAGCGUUACUCGGUUUGACUGGGUGUAAAGGGUCCGCAGGCGGUCUAACAAGUAGAAAGUGAAAUCCUUCGGCUUAACCGGAGAACUGCUUUCUAAACUGUUAGACUAGAGGAUGGGAGAGGAGAUCGGAACUGUCAGUGUAAGGGUGAAAUCUGUGGAUAUUGACAGGAACGUCAGUGGGGAAGCCGGAUCUCUGGUCCAUUCCUGACGCUCAGGGACGAAAGCUAGGGGAGCAAACAG
rnacentral:rRNA from 1 species